rnacentral:lncRNA from 1 species
CUUCCAUGUCAGAUUUGCUCUAAAUGCUUUGGUUUUUGAGUUAUAAGCCAAAAACUGCAUUUUACCCCUAUGUUCUAUUUUUAGCCAUGGCGGCCAUCUUGGUUGGUUGGCCGGGUCACCGGACAUAUUUUUUAAAGUAGAUACCUCAAAGAUGAUUGUGGCCAAGUUUGGUUUAACUUGGUCCAGUAGUUUCAGAGGAGAAGAUUUUUGUAAAAGAUAACUAAGAUUUACGAAAAAUGGUUAAAAAUUGACUAUAAAGGGCAAUAACGCCUAAAGGGGUCAAUUGACCAUUUCAGUCAUGU